AUAGUGUGGCUUUGAGAUAUUGGGACAUGUAGUGUAGGAUACCGAACUUCUAAAAUUAUGAAGUUACAGUGGGAUGUAAAUGCGGAUUUUAAUAUAAAAAGAAAAAUAAAUAAAAAUAGUAUGAGAUACUAUUUUUAUUAGAUUUAGAGAAGUGAAAUAUAAGUCUGGAAUGACCCGUGUUGAAAUCAGAGCGAAAACAGAAGAUUUAGAUUUUCUGUGAGAAACGGAGCAGAUAAAUUAGCAGAAAAUGCACAGUCUCAGAAAAUUAUGAAAACUGGCGGGGAUGCCAGAAAUAUUUUAAUGAGGCUAGAUUUAAAGUUUCAGCCCAUUCUGACACCCGGAAGGUGGAAAAUAAAAUCCGACAAUUAUCUGAUAAAGAUUACAGUUCGGUACAGCUUUCGGUGACCAAACGGGGUCGAAACUGAAAUAUUAAAAUUU
rnacentral:lncRNA from 1 species